rnacentral:lncRNA from 10 species
GUGGACUGGAAGCCACCUCUUCAGAAGAAAAAACAUGAUGAAAGCAAAUACUUAAUAUCCAACAAAGUAUGACAGCAUGUUGCACUGCUCCCUCUAAAGAAGUAACUUCAAGUUCUCAGAAUAAGCAGUAUAUAUAAAUUCUUUUUUUUUUUUUUUUGAGACGGAGUCUUGCUCUGUUACCCAGGCUAGAGUGUAGUGGUGCGAUCUCGGCUCGCUGCAACCUCCACCUCCCAGGUUCAAGCGAUUCUCCUGCCUCAGCCUCCCGAGUAGCUGGGACUACAGGCGUGCAC